CUUUUGUGGGGUGCUCGAGUGGCGAACGGGUAAGUAACACGUGAGUAACCUGCCCUUGACUUUGGGAUAACUUCAGGAAACUGGGGCUAAUACCGGAUAGGAGCUCCUGCUGCAUGGUGGGGGUUGGAAAGUUUCGGCGGUUGGGGAUGGACUCGCGGCUUAUCAGCUUGUUGGUGGGGUAGUGGCUUACCAAGGCUUUGACGGGUAACCGGCCUGAGAGGGUGACCGGCCACAUUGGGACUGAGAUACGGCCCAG
rnacentral:rRNA from 1 species